rnacentral:rRNA from 1 species
CCCUUGGGAAGUCCUCGUGUUGCAUCCCU